rnacentral:misc_RNA from 1 species
GUACUCUCACACUCUCUGAUCCUUUGGAUUGGGGGCGGUGGACUUGGGUGCUGCUGCUUUACGGUGGCUCACCUCAAAUGCCUUAGUGCAACUCUUGGUUGGACAUAGUACGGCGUGAUAAGUAUCUUCGCCGGCACCUCGCAAGAGGGUGGCUGAUCAGGAGCUCUGUGCUUCCAACUGUCUGUCUUUCAGACAACAACUGACA